AUCUUCUCGGCGUUGUCCCGGGGAACACCGAACUGGCUUUUGAUGUCGACGCUCGCGAGCGCGCACAGAGAAGCCCCGCCCCUCGCGGUGCAGCAUCCUGGUCACUUUUUACAGUCGAACGUAUUCUCCGUCACGCCAUUUUCCACCGUCGGCUGGAGGCAGUGCAUCGGCGAGACGGGUGCACGUGAAAAAGAGUUCUUCUCAGCGGUGAAUUCCUUCGGCUCCGGUACAGAUUCCAUCAUGCACCGUGACUGUCCCCUGGACUGUAAGGUCUACGUUGGAAAUUUGGGCAACAAUGGGAACAAAACCGAGUUGGAGCGCGCCUUUGGCUACUACGGACCUCUUCGUAGCGUCUGGGUGGCCAGGAACCCCCCAGGUUUCGCCUUCGUAGAGUUUGAAGAUCCCAGAGAUGCAACGGAUGCGGUGCGAGAACUGGAUGGAAGGACACUGUGCGGCUGCCGGGUGCGCGUGGAGCUGUCUAACGGGGAGAAGCGCAGCCGCAGUCGCGGCGCUCCUCCAUCGUGGAGCAGGCGGCCGCGGGAACGGGACGACUACAGGCGGCGUAGCAGCCCGCCACCCAGGAGAAGAACCACCACCAUGCCUCUUCUCACCACCCUCAGUCAACUAGUCCUCUUUCAGCAUCACGCGACUGCUGACCGUCGUGUCCCAAUCAGCUUGGCUGGUGCUGUCACAUGACCCAGGCUUGGCCAGUCGUCAGGUUGCACCAGCCCAUUGGUUCCUCAGCAUGCCGUUCUCAACCUCCUGCUCCUUCAGCCUUAAACCAAAGGGCAGCCACCCACUUCACAUUCCCGACCAAUCAGCGUAAAAUGUUCCCAAAUGUCUACAACCCACCAGCAGCAGCCGUCAGCUUACCAAUUAAAGCAGGAAAAAAGCCACAACCAGCCCCCAUCUGCCUGCCAUCUAAUCACCUUGCAGCAUCUGUCCACUCCUAUUCCGCCAAUUCUACCUACGCGGCCGGCAGUCUGCCUUCCUUUCGUCAUAUCUAGCUUGUUGAAAUCCAAAAAAACUAGUAAGUUUCCCUGCUUCAUUCAGUACACUGCUGAUUUCAGUUUUGAAAGUGAAGAGACAGCUGGUUUGAAGAGACUUUUAUUGUUUAAACUCUAGCUUUGUCAUCCACCAUGUGAGUCUUUGUUUCAAUGGGAGUGAUCAGAUAGAUGGAGCCUGCUGUCAGAGGAGCUUGAUGGUGCUGAUGUUAGGGGAUCUGGGCACAUCGUAGGUCACAGCAGUCACAACUCUGUUAGCUGGAAAAAGGCUAGCUUCAGGUAAACGGGUCAGUGGGGGGGUUGAUUAGUCAAACACAGAGCAGUUUACAACAUUUGUUUCUUUUUUUUUUAGCACAAGAAAAAUUUGCAGCCUGUUUCAGUAAUUUUUUAAGCUAUCUUCACACCGAAUGGGAUUCACACGUCGAAGGCGUCCAGUUUUGUGCUGACACGAUCUGAGGUUCGGCAGCGGCGCCUCGGGCGGUGCAUCCAGACUUCAAAUGUCUAAACGUUGGCGUUGAAUUCGUUAACCACCCAGGGACUUGCCUCAGGCCUGUGAUGACGUGAUCUGAGGGCUGUGUCCAAAACCGAAAUGGAGAAUCUGAUAGUUUUCCGUCUGAGCUGUGUCUUUAUUUGUUCCCACACAAUAAUAAGUUCCUCUAAUUUUAUUUUCAUUUUUCCCCCUCGGACGACAAGUCAUUCAGACGAAGCUCCUGCGGUGGACGGCCGAGCUCGCCGUAUCAAGUGAGGUUGAGUGAUGUCAUGAGACGUGAUUACCGAUGCUUUUGUGGAGCUUUUCCAUGUAAAUUUUGACGUCAACCGUGUCUUCUGUGCAUUGGAAAAGAAAUGUCAAUGCUUCCCAGUAGCCGUCGGGCUAAAGAAUUUGGACAGUAGCUCCUCCCCCAUACGUGGCGGAGGCGUCAAAUUUAUCAACACAAUUCUGGACGGGCAUCCAGCUGCGAAUUUGAGGCGUGAAUCGCGUUUGGUGUGAAUGCAGGGUUGGGCUUCAUCUUAGGACACACUAACCCCUAUUCAUUUUUUCUGACUAGAGUAGUCAUGUGACCUGAGUAGUGUGGUGGGCUAGGUUAGCAGAGAUUCCUGAUCUUCUGCUUUCUCUGAGGGCUUGGCUUUAUGGUCAGUGACUCUAUUUUCUUUGGGGAUUUUUUUUUUCCCUCCUGGAAAUAAAGGCUUUCAUCUCUGGUUUUUGUUGGCGACAACAAAGGGCUGUUUGAGGUAGUCUAUGGUAGAAGUCAUAUGAUGUGGAGCUUCGUUGAAGAACCAAAUGUCUUUGUGCUCACCAGCUGUCUUUUCCUUGUGCAGAUCUCCCCGUAGGCGAAGCUUCAGCCGCAGCCGGAGCAGGUCUUUCUCCAAAGACAGGAGGAGAGAAAGAUCCCUCUCCAGGGACAGGAACCACAAACCCUCUCGGUCCUUCUCUCGAUCCAGGAGCCGCUCCAGGUCAAACGACAGGAAAUAGAAGAAACCGCCGGUUUUAAGGGAGCUGUUUGGACCGGCUCCAGCUUUUCGUUCAAUGGACUUCAGCUUUGACAUUUAGUCUUUUUGUUUUUCUUUUUUUUUUAUAGCAAUCGAGUAUUUUAGAUUAUGUUUCUUUUUACAGAUGGGGUUGUUUUGAGUGCAUUGAGCGUCUCAACGGUGCUUGUUUGUUCUGACCCAUCCCUGCCGUCUUUGUUCUCCUGUCCAUGAAUGUACGACGCCCUCCCUCCCACAUUCUUCUUUGUUUCCACUGUACGAACGCCAACUUCUGUUUUUGAUUGACACGCACCUCCAGAGAUGUGAAGUGCUCCGCUCACAACGCCGAUCUAUUUUCAAUGUAGUCCUUUCAUUCACAUGUUUAGCGGUGGUCUUGUUGCCCCUCAGUUCAGCAAGGAAAAACUGUGGAACCGAUUUAAAGAAACUGAAACGGAAGUCUGAUUUUUGCUUUUCAAGUUUUACAUUGUUAUUCUUUUGUUUAAUACUGUGUAAACUGGUCUCAAUUAAAAACUGAUUUAAAAAAUGA